AGCGAUAAGGGAACCUCGAGUGCCAGGUUACAAAUCUGGCUGUCGAGAUGCCUAAAAAGCAUUUCAUAGCAAGGGCCGGGCAAGACCGGUGCCAGCCGCCGCGGUAACACCGGCGGCUCGAGUGGUAACCGUUAUUAUUGGGUCUAAAGGGUCUGUAGCCGGCCGGAUAAGUCUCUUGAGAAAUCUGGCAGCUUAACUGUCAGGCUUUCAGGAGAUACUGUCUGGCUCGAGGCCGGGAGAGGUGAGAGGUACUUCAGGGGUAGGGGUGAAAUCUUGUAAUCCUUGAAGGACCACCAGUGGCGAAGGCGUCUCACCAGAACGGACCUGACGGCAAGGGACGAAAGCUAGGGGCACGAACCGGAUUAGAUACCCGGGUAGUCCUAGCCGUAAACGAUACUCGCUAGGUGUCGGCCACGGUGCGACCGUUGUCGGUGCCGUAGGGAAGCCGUGAAGCGAGCCACCUGG
rnacentral:rRNA from 1 species